UUUAAAAUUGAGAGUUUGAUCCUGGCUCAGGACGAACGCUGGCGGCGUGCUUAACACAUGCAAGUCGAGCGAUGAAGCUU
rnacentral:rRNA from 1 species